UACGUAGGGUGCAAGCGUUAAUCGGAAUUACUGGGCGUAAAGCGUGCGCAGGCGGUUUGCUAAGACCGAUGUGAAAUCCCCGGGCUUAACCUGGGAACUGCAUUGGUGACUGGCAAGCUAGAGUGUGGCAGAGGGGGGUAGAAUUCCACGUGUAGCAGUGAAAUGCGUAGAGAUGUGGAGGAAUACCGAUGGCGAAGGCAGCCCCCUGGGCAGUCACUGACGCUGAGGCGCGAAAGCUCGGGGAGCGAACGGG
rnacentral:rRNA from 1 species